GAGGCUCCAGCUACUACACCGAGGCUUCAGCUACUUCCUAGGCUCCAGCUACUACACCGAGGCUCCAGCUAAUUUUUCGACCAAAACGGGUGAACACUACACUGAAGCGCCCUGUACUAUGCCCCGAUCUACACAGCCACAACUGAGACGGGCAAGCAUUACCAGCCCCGAGUUACUACAUAGAAGCUGCUCCUUCCUACUCCGUUGAACAGAAAUGCUACACUGAUGCACCAUUUUACUAUAGAUCCCAACCUACGCUACAUCUAGCUACAACACCGAAGCCUCCAAGUACUGCACCGAAGAAGCAUCAUGUUACACAACCACGUACGAUGUCCCAGUUUAGUACACAGAGGAACCCAAGUACUUCUACGGGAUUCGUGUUCAGAUUUAUCGGUUAUUUUUUAAUAGUUGAUGAGUAUCGUGGAUGUUUAAUGAGAAAAAAAAUAUUUAAUUGCGGGUAACCAUCUUGUAAGACUUCCCCUUAAUACCUUUAAACCUUUCGACAUUGCGACAGAUGUUCCUAUUUGGAAGUAACUACUUUAGUCGCUCUUCAUACGGACAUAUCCUGGUCUUUGGACGAAAUUCUUUUUCAGGGAUGGCGUAACAAAGGAGUUCAUGGCAGGCAUUGUGAUUGGACCUUUCAUAGAAAAUUAUUGAAA